AUUGAACGCUGGCGGCAUGCCUUACACAUGCAAGUCGAACGGCAGCACGGGUGCUUGCACCUGGUGGCGAGUGGCGAACGGGUGAGUAAUACAUCGGAACAUGUCCUGUAGUGGGGGAUAGCCCGGCGAAAGCCGGAUUAAUACCGCAUACGAUCUACGGAUGAAAGCGGGGGCCCUUCGGGCCUCGCGCUUUCGGGUUGGCCGAUGGCUGAUUAGCUAGUUGGUGGGGUAAAGGCCUACCAAGGCGACGAUCAGUAGCUGGUCUGAGAGGACGACCAGCCACACUGGGACUGAGACACGGCCCAGACUCCUACGGGAGGCAGCAGUGGGGAAUUUUGGACAAUGGGCGAAAGCCUGAUCCAGCAAUGCCGCGUGUGUGAAGAAGGCCUUCGGGUUGUAAAGCACUUUUGUCCGGAAAGAAAUCCUUGGCUCUAAUACAGUCGGGGGAUGACGGUACCGGAAGAAUAAGCACCGGCUAACUACGUG
rnacentral:rRNA from 1 species